rnacentral:rRNA from 1 species
AGUGAACGCUGGCGGUAGGCCUAACACAUGCAAGUCGAACGGCAGCACAGUAAGAGCUUGCUCUUACGGGUGGCGAGUGGCGGACGGGUGAGGAAUACAUCGGAAUCUACUUUUUCGUGGGGGAUAACGUAGGGAAACUUACGCUAAUACCGCAUACGACCUACGGGUGAAAGCAGGGGAUCUUCGGACCUUGCGCGAUUGAAUGAGCCGAUGUCGGCUUAGCUAGUUGGCGGGGUAAAGGCCCACCAAGGCGACGAUCCGUAGCUGGUCUGAGAGGAUGGUCAGCCAGACGGGAACUGAGACACGGUCCAGACUCCGACGGGAGGCAGCAGUGGGGAAUAUUGGACAAUGGGCGCAAGCCUGAUCCAGCCAUACCGCGUGGGUGAAGAAGGCCUUCGGGUUGUAAAGCCCUUUUGUUGGGAAAGAAAAGCAGCAGGUUAAUACCCCGCUGUUCUGACGGUACCCAAAGAAUAAGCACCGGCUAACUUCGUG